rnacentral:rRNA from 1 species
UGGGGAAUCUUGCACAGUGGGGGAAACCCUGAUGCAGCGACGCCGCGUGAACGAUGAAGCCCUUCGGGGUGUAAAGUUCUUUCGACAGGAACGAUAAUGACGGUACCUGGAGAAGAAGCUGCGGCUAACUACGUGCCAGCAGCCGCGGUAAUACGUAGGCAGCGAGCGUUGUUCGGAGUUACUGGGCGUAAAGAGUGCGUAGGCGGCGAGCCAAGUUUGGUGUGAAAUCUCCCGGCUUAACCGGGAGGGUGCGCCGAAAACUGGUUGGCUGGAGUAUGGGAGAGGAAAGCGGAAUUCCUGGUGUAGCGGUGAAAUGCGUAGAUAUCAGGAGGAACACCUGCGGUGUAGACAGCUUUCUGGACCAAAACUGACGCUGAGGCACGAAAGCGUGGGUAGCAAACA